UACGUAGGUGGCAAGCGUUGUCCGGAUUUACUGGGCGUAAAGAGCGCGCAGGCGGCCAAGUCAGUCGAAUGUGAAAGCCCCCGGCUCAACUGGGGAGGGUCACGCGAUACUGAUCGACUCGAAGGCAGGAGAGGGUAGUGGAAUUCCCGGUGUAGUGGUGAAAUGCGUAGAUAUCGGGAGGAACACCAGUGGCGAAGGCGACUACCUGGCCUGUUCUUGACGCUGAGGCGCGAAAGCUAGGGGAGCAAACGGGG
rnacentral:rRNA from 1 species